ensembl:lncRNA
UUUUUUUUCCUGAGCCAAUUCUAGCCAAUCAUUUUACGUUUCCGAAGAUAGUAGGCGGGGCCAGGUACGUACGUUCUUUCAGAGCAGAGCUACAGAUUAAAAAUGCCCAAGGCGAAGCGGUCAAAAGUCUGGCUGUACUUCACAGCAAAAGGUGCAAACUCAGCAGCCUGCAACAAGUGCUUUAAGCUGAUACUGUGAUACUGUCAAAGGAGGUAACACCUCAAAUCUGAUGAAACACCUGGCGACGCAUAGCGUUUUUUUUUAAAGCCGAGAAAUUUGCCGUGUUUGAUAGCUUGCUGCGAGACCUCACACCGUGCACAUCUACUGCGGGUGUGGUGCCUGUUAGCGGACCUGGAGUUAGCAACAUCCCCCCAAAAGAGUAGAGUCCUGGCCCCUAGCCCUGUCAGCGUAGCAGAAAUGAUGACGGAUGAUGAUGGCAGCAGCAGCAGCCGUUCUCCUCUGCGGAUCACACGCAUGGAGGCAGGCAGUGAAAGCAAACAGUGCAGGCAGGGGCAGUAAGAAAGCAAGGCCCCAGAAAACCUGAUCAAGGAAAAAAUCUGUGACCAUGAGGAAGAUGGAAUACUGAGAGUGCAAGAGUGCUUUGGAAUAGGCAACAAAAUACCUCCUGUCUCCAUUUGCUAACCACUUUUCCUUGAACUCAAUGGAAGAUUUCAUGAAGGGAAGAAAAGGUGUGAAAGAGAAUUUAAGAGGUCUCAAGUAAAGAGAAGCUCAGAGAAUCUGACGGCACUUACCCCAGACUCCCCUGUUGAAACUACAAUAUCCAGAAGAUGGACUACAAAAUGAGCUCAUGGAACUCCGUUUCUCUUCUUUGUUUGGAUUUCUAUGACAGAAGUCAAAUUCCCUCCAUUCGUCACCUAUCACUGAAGCACGUUCAGUCACAUGACUUAACUGGACUUUACAGUCAACUGGGGUCACAAUAUUUUUGCCCAUGAAUACAAUAAUAAUAGAAUAAAUUAAUUUCUUCAUUUCUGUAUCUGUGUACUCCAUGUCUCUGUGUCUAACUUUAUAUAACUUGAAGUCUCACUUUCAAAACACAUGUUAAUCUCAAU